rnacentral:rRNA from 1 species
AUACAGAGGGUGCAAGCGUUAAUCGGAUUUACUGGGCGUAAAGCGCGCGUAGGUGGCUAAUUAAGUCAAAUGUGAAAUCCCCGAGCUUAACUUGGGAAUUGCAUUCGAUACUGGUUAGCUAGAGUAUGGGAGAGGAUGGUAGAAUUCCAGGUGUAGCGGUGAAAUGCGUAGAGAUCUGGAGGAAUACCGAUGGCGAAGGCAGCCAUCUGGCCUAAUACUGACCCUGAGGUGCGAAAGCAUGGGGAGCAAACAGGAUUAGAUACCCUGGUAGUCCAUGCCGUAAACGAUGUCUACUAGCCGUUGGGGCCCUUGAGGCUUUAGUGGCGCAGCUAACGCGAUAAGUAGACCGCCUGGGGAGUACGGUCGCAAGACUAAAACUCAAAUGAAUUGACGGGG